rnacentral:rRNA from 1 species
UCAGACGAUGCGUCAUGCAUAUCAAUAAGCGGAGGAAAAGAAACUAACAAGGAUUCCCCUAGUAACGGCGAGUGAAGCGGGAAGAGCUCAAAUUUGAAAUCUUAAAGGGUUUCCCUUUACGAAUUGUAGUUUAAAGAAGUGUUUUCUGUUGAGGUUUUGGUAAAAGUUCUUUGGAAUAGGACAUCAUAGAGGGUGAGAAUCCCGUAUUUGACCUUUACUUUCAACUUUGUGAUACACUUUCAAAGAGUCGGAUUGUUUGGGAAUGCAGUCCAAAAUGGGUGGUAAAUUUCAUCUAAAGCUAAAUAUUGGCGAGAGACCGAUAGCGAACAAGUACCGUGAGGGAAAGAUGAAAAGAACUUUGAAACGAGAGUUAAACAGUACGUGAAAUUGUCAAAAGGGAAGCGUUUGACACCAGUGUUGUUUUUCUGAAAAUCAAUUAAAGAACUGUUUAUGCUAAGCUGUUUAGACUUUAUCAGCUAUCUGUUUAGUUUUGAGCUUUUCUUUAAUGCACUUUUCAGUUAACAAGUCAACAUCAAUUUCUUUUGCUGUAAAAAGGCUUGAGGAAGGUGGCUUGAGAUUCGUCUUAAGUGUUUAUAGCCUCUUGCCUAUGCAGUCGGAGAGAUUGAGGUCUGCAGCGUAGAUCCUUCGGGGCUAAAUGCAUUUGUGCUAAGUUAUAGCAUUUUAUAGACAACUUGUUGACUAUGAUUUGUCUUGUAGCUUACUCGCUUAUGUUAUUUUACCUACGCUUAGGAUGUUGACACACGCGCGUGCUCG